UAACCUUUGCCAUGACCUGACUGCGACUGG
rnacentral:piRNA from 1 species